CGGCAGUGGACGCAGCCCCCUCCAGCCUCGCCGCCGCCCCUAACACGCCUCAGCCCGGCCCGCCGGAGGCCUCACACUGCGCAGCGCUACUUACCCCCCGGCCGCGGUGGACGGAGCCGGCUGUGGCGGGCAGGGCCGCUCUCCCGAAGAUGGUUCUUCACAUCUCUCUUCAUCUUGGUGGUCCUCCAGUGCACUGUCUCCAGUAUGUUGAAGAAUCUACUUACCCAGAAAAGAACCAGCAGAGGGUGCCUGAACUAGAGAGCAAGUAUGAGAUUUGUGCUGGAAUUGAUAAUGUAAGUGUAAAAAAGGAAAUAAACUUUAAUUUCCUUCUCUAUUAAAAUGAAAGAGGACUAUGUUAAUGAAAAUGAAGAUUGAAACUAACUGUCUUAGGGAAACUAAAUUAUUAAAAACCUGUCAAAAAAGUAGUGCUAAUAAUGAAGAGAAAAAAUAUUUGGGGACUAGGAAAGGAUUUUUCAUUAUCUGAUUCUGUCGUUGGCUAACAGCUGCUAAAGGACUGGUUCCCUGUGUUUACUGAACACAUAAGCUACUCCAUAAGAUACCUCUGUGUAAGGGGAUGGAGCAAGAGAAAAUCUUUAAAUGCAGGAUUCAGAGCAGGUUCUUAAUGCAUGUUCCCUGGCCACCCCACAGUGGAGUUAGUUUCUGCUGACUACAGUGGGUGCUCAGGGAGACAAAGUUCAGCAGAAUCAGACUUUUGGACACCACCUUCUCCUCCUCCUGUCCCUCACUUAAUAUUAAAUGUUGCAAGAGAGAAAGGUUUUGGUAGUUUCUUUCAUGAAUAGUCUUUUCAGUACCAGUACAGAGGGUCCAUGCAGAAAGAAACAUUUAUUGAUUCAUCACAAUAUAUUUAAAUGGAAUAAAUAUUGUUUUACAUAUCUAAAUAUGUAACUGGAAAGUUCCAGAUGUGGAAAGGUGAUUGACUUUGGUGACCUUAGAACCCUUAGCUCAGGAGGAUAGAUUCACAACAGGGAUCUAAGAAUUGGAAUGUAUGUAUCAGUGACAAAGUCUGCCUCUUCACCAUCACAAGAGGUUUGUUCUAUAUGAAGAAAACAAAGCUUUUUUAUUUUUCUUUUUAAAGAAAAACAUUAAAUACUUUAUUUCCCUCAGUUAUCCACCUAUGAUAAUAGUCAACUAACAUGGUUUGUUCAGCUGUGUUCUAGCCUUAACUAUAGUUAUUCCUUUGAGGAAAAUUCCUUACAUAUUUGUAUCUUUACUUUCUUUCUAUUC